rnacentral:ncRNA from 2 species
AUGUCGAAGGAAGCGUUGAACGGUUCGUCUGUAUAUGGGCACUUAGACGACCAGGAGCGAUUAGUGCAACCGGCCAAUCAUCAA